rnacentral:lncRNA from 10 species
GGAGCCAUGACCGCACCAGGCUGCUCUGAGGACGGGAGUGCUCUCAGUGGUGAGCUGGAGAAAACUGAAGCAGGAGUUGGGAGGUGAACAACUCUGGCCAGUGUCAGGUCCAUUUAUUUCAGCAAAUAUUUAUUGACAACCACCCAGCCAGCUCCUGGGUGGAUGCUGCUCAGACGGUCCUUGCCCUCCAGGUUCCCGGAGCCAGGAGGGAGAGUCACAAACCCAAGCAAAGCUAAUAGAAGCCGAGUGUGGAUAAAUGCUGUAAUCAAGGUUCAAACAAUUCAAUGAAACAGGAAGGAAGUAGUUCAUUCUGCCCAGACAGACCAGGAGCGAUCUUUGAGUGGAGGCUGGACGAGAAUCUGGCCUGAAGAAGUGGCGGAAGACUGAGAGGCACAACUGGAGGUGGUGACUCAGGGAUCCAAGCUGUCCCAUCCUGGAUUUGCAUCACUCAAUGUCACUUCAAAAGCGGGCAGGGGAAGAGUCUGGGAGAUUGCACGGGAUGUUUCUAAAGACCACCCCUGAAAGUGCCUUACAUCACUUCACCUACAUUUCUUUGAACACAGUCACAGAGAUAGAAGCUCACUGCCAGGAAUGCUGGGAAAUGUAGGCUUCCACUGUACCUGGGGAAAGUAAAGCCUAUAGCAAACACACAGCAGCUUUGACUCUGCCACAAGAGUUACAUCUGGAUUGGAAUUCUGCCUCUGUCUGCUAGCUUGGAGCUCUUUGGAUCUUUUUCUUCAUUCAAAACUUGGAACUAAUGACACCUACCCACAAGAUGUACAGAAUGUCACAUAUAUAGCUGUCAGAUAUUAAGAAUCAGACUUCUUCCUGAAUAGUGACUUCAAGGAUGGGUACUAUACUGAAAAUGGAAUGUCUCAGAUUGGCUUUCCAGAAAAGUGCCUGAGAUAAAGACAAGAAUAUAUCAAGGUUUCUGGGAAGACAAGUAAUGAAGUACAGGAAGCAGGAGAAGGGAAACAGGAGGAAGACAAACAAGGGGGCAACUUCAGGCAAAGCCUCACCAAACCCUAGAGCUAAGCAAAGCUUCGGAGCUGUCCCAUCCCUAGUGAAGGCUGUUGGACUUUCAUAUUCUCACCCUGAGAGUCGUUGGUCAAGGGCUGCCUGGUGUUGGGCGAGGGCCAAUGUAAACUCCCAGGAAUUGCAACUCUGCACAUAUCAGCAAGUGCUCUGGUAUCCUAAGGGAAGUUCUAAAUAAAAAUUUAAAAAAAUUAAAAUUAAAAAAGGACACAGGUUCCCACACUGAAGGCAAAAGCAUCUGAUACCUGGAAAGGGAUGCACAGAAAUGGUUAAAAAAAAGAUCCAAGGGGGAUCUUUAUGGAGCAGUCACACAUUGGCUAUAAAAAAAAAAUAACUGGCAGUUACAUAGUGAGCAGCGAGAACUGCAGCUGCAUUCCCUCACUCAGCAAUGAGAACAUCUGACAGCAAUGUGCCUGCCUCCCAGGUAGAAGAUGGGAGGCCACCUCUCUGGAAAAGCAGCCGUUCUGACAGAAAAAUCCAGAAGUGCUGAAGGUUUAGGGUUCCCAAAGGAUGAAGCUGAAUCAACCUAUAGUGAAUGUACAAAUAGACAACACACACACUCACACACACACACACACACACCCAUCUUAAAUAUAAACAAUCGAGGAGCACAAUAAAUUUAAGGAAUAUCUUAAGGAAAUCAAAGCAAACAAAAUUUAAAAAUAAACGUGUGAAAAAUCAAAGUAAUGUUUUUAAAUAAAAGAACACUGCAAUUGCUAUCCUCAGAAAGGCAAGAGAAAUUAUUUUACCCAUGAAAUAAGAAUCAGAGUUAUAUAAAAGGAGUUGACAUAAAACAAGAAUAAUUAAAAUAUCUUAAAAAGCAGAGUAGACAUAAAAGAUUGAAUAACAAUUUUGGAAGACAAAGUUAAGAAGAAGAAGAAAGAACUAGCAAGGUAGGAAAUAAAAUGACAGCAUAACACUAGGUGAUCCAACAUCCUAGAAAAUAGGUGUGUUCCAGAAGAGAGGACUGAAAAGAGAAAAUUAUUUUAAAAAACUCAAGCCUCAGACUUCUCAAACUACUGGAUGGGGGCAAAACUUUCAAAAUUCUGAGGAAAGAUGAUUUCCAACCUAGAAUUCCAUUUCCAGCUUGACCAUCAACUAAGUUUGAGGGUAAAAUACAGAUAUUUUGAGAACAUUCAUUCCUAAAACAGACCUCUCCUGAAUCCUUUUCUUUAGGAAGCUUUAGAGCAUGUGCUCCAUUAAAAAAAAAGAAAAGAAAAAAAUCAAUACAGUUACGGAGUAGGAAAAAAAAUGGGAUACAAGAAGCAGGGGCCCUAACACAGAAGAAGGAGAAUCCCUGGCAUGGCUGAUUAAGGAGAUACAGGUUAGCCACCACAUAGCAAACCUAGAGAGCAGACAUUCAGGGUUGGAAUUUAAGAAUGGAGAGCAACAAAAAAAUGUCUCCACAAAAAAAGGAUACAACUGAGAGAUUAGCUGAUGAGUUUUAAUAUAUUGAGAGGAUAUUUACACUUCUAGUGAAAUGUUUGAGCAUAUACUAGUGGUAAGCACUAGAAAAUGAAGAAAACAAAGAAGAUAAUUAUUAGCUCCAGGGAAAAGAAAAAGCUGCACAAGAAAAGAAACAUAAUCAUAGUACACUACGUGACUCAGCUCAAAAUAUGUACUACCAUAAAGAAAGUAUUACACAUUAAAUAUUCUAAAAUAUAAUAUAACUACCAGGGAGGGUGGAAGAAGAGAAAUGGAGGAAGGGUGGAAAGAGGGCAUGUGUAAGUUACAUCUUUGCCUUCAACAACAGGUCAACAGACAAUCUCUAGAACUCAAAAGAAAAAAUCAUGGAAUUGAAGUGUAUGUUAACUUUCUAUCACUGCCAUAACAAAUUACCAAUAAUUUAGUAGCUUACAACAACACAAAUUUGUCUUAGUGUUCUUCAGUUUAGAAGUCUAGGCCGGGUGCAGUGGCUCACGCUGGUAAUCCCAGCACUUUGGGAGGCCGAGGCGGGUGGAUCACCUAAGGCCAGGAGUUCGAGACCAGCUUGGCCAAUGUGGUGAAACCCUGUCUCUACUAAAAAUACAAAAAUUAGCCAGGUGUGGUGGCGGGCACCUGUAAUCCCAGCUACUCAGGAGGCUGAGGCAGAAGAAUCACUUGAACCCGGGACGUGGAGGUUGCAGUGAGCUGAGAUCGCACCAUUGCACUCUAGCCUGGGCAACAAGAAGGAAACUCCGUCUCAAAAAAAAAAAAAGAAGAAGAAGAAGUCUAAAACAGGUCUCACUAGAGUGACCAUCCAGGCAAAAUCAAGGGGUCAGCCGGGCUCUGUUUCUUUCUGGAGACUCUGAGGAGAAACCGUUUCUUUGCUCUUUGAACUGUUGGAGACUGCUUACAUCACUUGGCUCAUGGCAAAGAGCCAGUGAUGAUGUAUCAAGUCUGAGUUCUAACUUCUGCUUUCUUCUUCCACUUUUAAGGUCCCUUAUGAUUACAUUGGCUCCAUCCAGAGAAUCCUGGAUAAUCUUCCUAUUUUAAAGUCAACUGAUUAGCAGCCGUGAUUCCACUGGUGGCCUUAAUUCCCCUUUGCCAUAUAAACUAACAUAUUCACAGGUUGUGGGAAUUAGGACAUGGACACCUUUGGGUUAGGAAGGACAACUAUUCUGCCAACCACAGAGUGUAAGUGUAUAUUGGGAAGUGUGAGAAGAAACUGUGAAAAAGUGAAAAAUAGCUCCUCCUGGGGUUUGGGAAGAACAGGGAAGAGCCAGCUGUUUUCUUUAUAAACUAGUACUACUCUGCCUUUUAAAAAGAAAACCUAUGUUAAUGUAUAACUUUAAUUAAAAUAACAAUUAAAUUACAAAAUAAAACUGCCGUAGCCAGGAGAAAUAUUAAACAGGCAAGAGCCAUGACCAGAUUUGUCUUUUUAGAAAAUUCCCUCUUGAAGCUGUGUGGAUUCAAAGAUGGGAGUUAAAACUAAACUCACUCAUUAAUGAUAUGCCUGGGGAAGCAUCUCAGGUAGAGAGAAAAAGAACUGCCUUUAAUGAUGUCUAGAAGGUGUGAUCAAAACCCUACAGAGGAAAUCCAAGAAGAAAAGAAAGAAAACACAAAGAGGGUGUAUUUAAAAUCAGCAUCCAGAACUCUGUACCUGGACUCAGCUCUGCAACCAUGUCAGUGUGACUUCCUCCUGCAGGCCAUGACCCUCUGGGGAAGGGGCCAGGCCUUCAUCACAGUCAGAUGUAAACAGGCACCUGUCAGACACUUUGGUCUGCUCAAAGCUCAUCGGUAUCCCAGAA